CCUACGGGCGGCUGCAGUGGGGAAUAUUGCACAAUGGGCGCAAGCCUGAUGCAGCCAUGCCGCGUGUGUGAAGAAGGCCUUCGGGUUGUAAAGCACUUUCAGCGGGGAGGAAGGCGGUGAGGUUAAUAACCUCAUCGAUUGACGUUACCCGCAGAAGAAGCACCGGCUAACUCCGUGCCAGCAGCCGCGGUAAUACGGAGGGUGCAAGCGUUAAUCGGAAUUACUGGGCGUAAAGCGCACGCAGGCGGUCUGUCAAGUCGGAUGUGAAAUCCCCGGGCUCAACCUGGGAACUGCAUUCGAAACUGGCAGGCUAGAGUCUUGUAGAGGGGGGUAGAAUUCCAGGUGUAGCGGUGAAAUGCGUAGAGAUCUGGAGGAAUACCGGUGGCGAAGGCGGCCCCCUGAACAAAGACUGACGCUCAGGUGCGAAAGCGUGGGGAACAAACAGGAUUAGAUACCCCAGUAGUC
rnacentral:rRNA from 1 species